UGGCGGCGCGCCUAACAAUGCAAGUCGAACGAGAAAGUCCGCAAGGAUGAGUAAAGUGGCGUACGGGUGAGUAACACGUGGAUAACCUGCCCUUUAGUGGGGAAUACCGCUGGGAAACCGGCGACAAUACCGCAUAAGCUCGAGAGAGGAAAGCAGCAAUGCGCUGAAGGAGGGGUCCGCGGCCGAUUAGCUAGUUGGCAGGGUAAAAGCCUACCAAGGCUGUGAUCGGUAGCCGGCCUGAGAGGGCACACGGCCACACUGGCACUGAAACACGGGCCAGACUCCUACGGGAGGCAGCAGUGGGGAAUCUUGCACAAUGGGGGAAACCCUGAUGCAGCGACGCCGCGUGAGCGAUGAAGCCCUUCGGGGUGUAAAGCUCUUUCGGCAGGGACGAUUAUGACGGUACCUGCAGAAGCAGCUGCGGCUAACUACGUGCCAGCAGCCGCGGUAAUACGUAGGCAGCAAGCGUUGUUCGGAGUUACUGGGCGUAAAGGGUGCGUANGCGGCUUCUUAAGUCUGGUGUGAAAUCUCCCGGCUCAACUGGGAGGGUGCGCCGGAUACUGA
rnacentral:rRNA from 1 species